rnacentral:rRNA from 1 species
AAUCAACGCUGGCGGCGUGCCUAACGCAUGCAAGUCGAACGCGAAAGUCCCGCAAGGGAUCAGUAGAGUGGCAAACGGGUGAGUAACACGUGGGUGACCUGCCUUCGAGCGGGGGAUAACGUCCCGAAAGGGACGCUAAUACCGCAUAACAUCCUGCCUUUGAAGAGGUGGAGAUCAAAGCUGGGGAUCGCAAGACCCGGCACUUGAAGAGGGGCCCGCGCCUGAUUAGCAGUUGGUGAGGUAACGGCUCACCAAGGCAACGAUCAGUAUCCGGCCUGAGAGGGCGGACGGACACACUGGGACUGAGACACGGCCCAGACUCCUACGGGAGGCAGCAGUGGGGAAUUGUUCGCAAUGGGCGCAAGCCUGACGACGCAACGCCGCGUGGAGGAUGAAGAUUUUCGGAUCGUAAACUCCUGUCGAAUGGGACG